GAUGAAGAACGUAGCGAAAUGCGAUAAGUAAUGUGAAUUGCAGAAUUCAGUGAAUCAUCGAAUCUUUGAACGCACAUUGCGCCCGCCAGUAUUCUGGCGGGCGUGCCUGUUCGAGCGUCAUUUCAACCAUCAAGCCCCCGGGCUUGUGUUGGGGACCUGCGGCUGCCCGCAGGCCCUGAAAACCAGUGGCGGGCUCGCUGUCACACCGAGCGUAGUAGCAUCAUCUCGCUCAGGGCGUGCUGCGGGUUCCGGCCGUUAAAAAGCCUCUAAUACCCAAGGUUGACCUCGGAUCAGGUAGGAAGACCCGCUGAACUUAAGCAUAUCAAUAAGCGGAGGA
rnacentral:misc_RNA from 1 species